CAGCCGUCACCCGGGAGCGCUUCAUCGAUCCUGACUGCUGUUUUCUUCUUAUUGACCAGCACGACAACGUCUGCAGCUGCCUGUCACUCACUCGUUGGGAACUUUUGAUUCCUCCAGAGCCUCUGCUACUAGUACCAGUCACAGUCAAAGCAGAAAAAAUGCCAGCAUCUACAGUAUGUUCCAAUCUGUCUGCCUGGAUCGAAAUAGGCCCAAUUGACUCUGAUUGACAUCGGGAGAAGAUUCCUUCCCGGCAGUGGAAGUAAGGCCACAUGAAUGUAUUGAAGGCGCUCCGGUGUGUUCUCGUCGCUUUGGGUAUUCCGACGUGUUUGCCUGGGAGUGCAAAGCGAAGGCGCUCUUUGCAUAAACUCCCUUUGAUUGACUGCCGAUGCAUCCUUCGGAGAUCACCGGAGCAAAUGGUUAAAGUGCAACCCACCCCCCAGAGACAUUAAAUAGGGUAACCCCACAACUAAGAUUUCCAUCUAAAGAAGACUUCUGGAUUAAAAGUGAAGCAUCUUCAGCUAUGAAGAAGAAUCCAGUUGCCUCCAUUCAACUUUUGCGGAUUACCAUGACGUGGAUGACUGAGCAUCCACCCAGACAUGUGUUAUCAUGUGUGGUGUACUCAAGACAACCAACACCACCACAUCACACUCUUAACCAUAUGUCCACCCACAAUCAAGGAUUUGGCAAAGUACCUGGACUGAUCUGAGAGCGGCAGCAAGGAGCCACACAGGAUCCAAACUGCCAUAAAUACAAAGAACAAGAAGCGAGGUUAAUAAUUGAUGAAUGUGAACCAAGACAGAGCCCAGUGUCAUCUUGGUUUACCAGAGGACCCUAAAGGAGCGCUUGUCCAACUCAGAGAAAGAAUGAACCCGCUACACUCCACUCAUCGCAUUCCAUCUCCUGG